rnacentral:rRNA from 1 species
AUUGAACGCUGGCGGCAGGCUUAACACAUGCAAGUCGAGCGAGCGGCGGACGGGUGAGUAAUGUCUGGGAACCUGCCUGAUGGAGGGGGAUAACUACUGGAAACGGUAGCUAAUACCGCAUACCAUCAGAUGUGCCCAGCUGGGAUUAGCUAGUAGGUGGGGUAGUGGCUCACCUAGGCUACGAUCCCUAGCUGGUCUGAGAGGUUGACCAGCCACACUGGAACUGAGACACGGCCGAGACUCCUACGGGAGGCAGCAGUGGGGAAUAUUGCACAAUGGGCGCAAGCCUGAUGCAGCCAUGCCGCGUGUGUGAAGAAGGCCUUCGGGUUGUAAAGCACUUUCAGCGAGGAGGCGUUACUCGCAGAAGAAGCACCGGCUAACUCCGUGCCAGACGCCGCGGUAAUUC